AUGACGGCCUCCGUGCCCCUGAUCAUCUUUGGGUGUAGACAACCAUCCUUUCAGACGUUGCAGAGACUGCAGACUGAGAAGCCAGCCUUGGAGUGGAAGCUUAAGAGAGACGUCCUGGGGGUGAAAUUGGGCAAUUUGCAGCAACACUGGGAGGCGAGGAAGGGAUCAGGGGUGAGCCCCUCCAGACUCCGAAUAGGCGAUCAAGAGUUUGAUUCAUUGCCUGCUUUACUGGAAUUCUACAAAAUACACUAUUUGGACACUACAACGUUGAUAGAACCAGUUUCCAGAUCCAGGCAGGGUAGUGGAGUGAUUCUCAGGCAGGAGGAAGCAGAGUAUGUGCGAGCCCUCUUUGACUUUAAUGGGAAUGAUGAAGAAGAUCUUCCCUUUAAGAAAGGAGACAUCCUGAGAAUCCGGGAUAAGCCUGAAGAGCAGUGGUGGAAUGCAGAGGACAGCGAAGGCAAGAGAGGGAUGAUUCCAGUCCCUUACGUCGAGAAGUAUAGACCUGCCUCCGCCUCAGUAUCGGCUCUGAUUGGAGGUAACCAGGAGGGUUCCCACCCACAGCCACUGGGUGGGCCGGAGCCUGGGCCCUAUGCCCAACCCAGCGUCAACACUCCGCUCCCUAACCUCCAGAAUGGGCCCAUUUAUGCCAGGGUUAUCCAGAAGCGAGUCCCUAAUGCCUACGACAAGACAGCCUUGGCUUUGGAGGUACAUAAUGUGCAAAAUGUAGAAAGAAGAGAUCUGCUACAGGUCUCCCUUUCAGACCUCUUACAGCUUUGUAGGAAUGCUCAAUACAAGCACCAGCAUUGUGAUGUUGUUGUAGAUGUCGA